rnacentral:lncRNA from 1 species
CAAAGGUAUUUCAUUUGUAGACACAAUUUACCACUUAGGUACAACCGUAUAAAUUAUUGUGUUAUGUUGUUAUCAAUAAAAAAAAACUUCUGAACUAUAAUUCUACUUUUAGUCAUUAUGUAUGUGUAGGUACUGGCAGAAAUCUGCUAGUUCACGGGCCCACUGCGGAAGUCAACCGGGUACGUACGUUUGUGUGAUCAUAAUUACUAUGUAUUUAUGUACAUGUUUGAAAAACUAGAGAUCGUACGGCAGUACUAAAUAGUAGAACUAUUAUAUUUGUAUUCGUAAAGCUUUGCGAGGCACGUUCCACUGUUGCUAACAGUAAGGUCCGUGAGAAAUCGUAAAGUUGCGCGAAACUAUUAAAUAGUAGAACUAUUAUAUUUAUAUUCGUAAAGCUUUGCGAGGCACGUUCCACUGUUGCUAACAGUAAGGUCCGUGAGAAAUCGUAAAGUUGCGCGAAACUAUUAAAUAGUAGAACUAUUAUAUUUAUAUUCGUAAAGCUUCGCGAGGCACGUUCCACUGUUGCUAACAGUAAGGUCCGUGAGAAAUCGUAAGGUUGUGCGAAAGUAUUAGAUAGUAGAACUAUCAUAUGUACCUAUAGACCUAUAUGCGUGAGAGGCGAGAACUUGUACAGCUUUACGAGGUGCGACCAGCAAGGUUCGCGAGGAUUCGUAUAUGUUGUGUGCAAGUCUUGUACAGCUUUACGAGGUGCGACCAGCAAGGUUCGCGAGGAUUCGUAUAUGUUGUGUGCAAGUCUUGUACAGCUUUACGAGGUGCGACCAGCAAGGUUCGCGAGGAUUCGUAUAUGUUGUGUGCAAGUCUUGUACAGCUUUACGAGGUGCGACCAGCAAGGUUCGCGAGGAUUCGUAUAUGUUGUGUGCAAGUCUUGUACAGCUUUACGAGGUGCGACCAGCAAGGUUCGCGAGGAUUCGUAUAUGUUGUGUGCAAGUAUAAAAUGGCAGGGCCUGGCAUGGACUUGAAAGUCACGUUCCACUGUCGUGGAGUCCUUGAGUAACACUCAAAGGUUUGCUUUAAACGGCGCGGCGGUAACUUGUUGGUAAGGUUAUGGAAAGUGGUAAUGGUAAGGUAAUGUGUGAGUAAAAGGUAAAGGUAAUAAUUUCCAUAAAUCGUCAGUGUAAAACGAUUCGACUGUAGUGACAUUUCAAAGUUGUCCGGUUGUUUAUAAAACACUAGCAAACGCUACGCUAGUAAAAUGCACGUAAAAGUCAUUACGGGGUUUUAAUCGCAAGUACGAAGCGUCAGGAAAAACUUCAUUUCAUCAUUAUUGUUUCAACUCUGAAGCUAGAAAUAAAAUUCUUACAUUGGGACAAUGCAUUCUGAAACUGUUUUUCAAGUAAGUGAAGUAAAAUUAUUCAGUCAAAGCCCGACAAGGGCAAAGGCAAUACUUGGUCAUUUGAAGGAAAAGGGAAAGGAGUAGGUAGCUAGAGUAAAAUGUGAGGAAACCACUUGGAGUAUGAAGAUUUAUUAUAUUCCAUUAAUAGGCAGGUACAGUUUGGUUUUAUCUAUUUUUAUAUUCAUUUUGAUUUUGCCGCUAGUGGAUCUCAAGUGUUCGUAAUUGUUUCGAGCAUGAGAUACCUACCUGAAUAUGUCGUUGCCUAGAUAUAUAAGUAGAUGAUUUCGAUAAUAAACUGUUUGAAUCGGACCAAGCAAGAUGAGUGCUCGUUGGCUGAACGUGCAGCAAUAUUUGAGACUGUUUGAUUCCACAUGGACUAACAGGCGGGAUAUCGGUGUCCAUCGACUGAUCACCAGACUGGUUAUUGAUGUCGGCAAAGUGACGGAGUUUAAUUUGUUUUUACUAAACAAAGGAAGGGAUGUAGUGUACUGUAUUAUCACCGAUAUCUGUCGUCUCGUUGUCGCAUAGACGCGGAGGGUGCACACUAUACUCUAUGGCCAGUUGGCGGGAAACCGGGAGAGUGUGUGGCGCGGGAGUAAAACGUUAUGUGGACAAGCGAGCCGAUAUCCUAAUUAUCGGAUGGUAAUUACAGAGACACAGGUAGGACGAACACUACAAUGACCAUAUAAAAUUAUAAUAACAUCCAUCAAAUAAAUAUUAAAAUAACAUAAACACACAAUUUAAAAUCUUCACGUUUACUUUAAAGUACUUCAAAAACUAACAACACAUUUGCAGAAAAAAUAUGUUAACAAAGAAUAUCAUUUAUAAUUAUAAAAACUUAAGCCCAAUAUUUAUAAUAUACUUCAACGCAAAAAGUAUACUUCAACAACAUUAUAAUUCAAAAUACAUAAGUUAGAGAGCUAUUUGUUAAAUCAAACGAAGCAAAAAAUCAUGUCAAAACUUAAAAACACAUAAAUAAUUAUAACUACGCAAUAAUAUCACAGAUUCUUAUUAGAUAAUAAUCUAUUUACAUUUUAACUACUCGUUAAUAAGGCACUUUAGAAAUUAUAAUUUAAAUCCAAAGUUUAAAGCUAUUUAAAUCUAACAUACAGCAACUUAAAAAAAUACAGAAAAAAAUGAUGUUUCCAAAAAUAAACAUGAAUUAAUAAUAUGUAAAUCAGUACUCCUGAAGCAUUUUAAUAAGUUUCAGAUACAAAUAAUCAGGUAAUUUAGCACUUUUUUCAAGUUUAUUCACCUUGAAAUGAGUUCAAACUGCACAUACAAUUUAGUUUCAGUCUUAUAUUUACAUUAAUUAUAAACUCUUUAAUAAAUAUCAAAUAUAAUCUAAUCUUAUUUUACAGUCUUCUUGAUGCCUGUAUUUUUUACUCCGCUUUUGUAAUUUACCAAAAAUAAUUUUGAUUUUGUCACACCUUCCAUCCUUACAAACAAUGAAAAGCUUUUCAGUUUAGAAUGUUCAACAUGAGUAAUUUUAUAAAAUUAUCAACGAGAUAGAUAUUGAACAACUAAAAAUAAAUACAAAUAGACCUAUUUAUAUUAAAAGUAUUUACAUUAAAGCUUUUCUUACAACUAUUGAUUCUCGUAUUGGCUCCGGCCAUAUCAUACCAUUACUCAAUCACCCAAAAAAAAAUCAAAUACAAUUUGACCUUCCCCUAAACGCAACAAGUGGAAUC